rnacentral:rRNA from 1 species
UACGAAGGGGGCUAGCGUUGCUCGGAAUUACUGGGCGUAAAGCGCACGUAGGCGGCUUUCUAAGUCGGGGGUGAAAUCCUGGAGCUCAACUCCAGAACUGCCUUCGAUACUGGAAAUCUCGAGUCCGGGAGAGGUGAGUGGAACUGCGAGUGUAGAGGUGAAAUUCGUAGAUAUUCGGAAGAACACCAGUGGCGAAGGCGGCUCACUGGUCCGGUACUGACGCUGAGGUGCGAAAGCGUGGGGAGCAAACAGG